rnacentral:lncRNA from 1 species
AGAUGGAGACAAAGGUAUAAAUGAAAAAAUAAUUUACAGCAUCAAGCUAGUGAACCCCCCAGCCUAUAACAACAGCUUUUCAAUCAAUGACACUGGAGUGUUGGAAGUCAAGACCUCAAUUGACAGAGAAAUAUGUCCAAACCUUGUGGUGGGCAUUCAGGCAGCUCAGAAAGACAAGACUUUCAAAACAGCUGAUGCAGUAGUUCUGGUUACUAUUGGAGAUGAAAAUGACAAUUAUCCAGUACUGUCACAAGCAAGUUAUGAUGUCUUACUUCCAGAAAAUUUCCCAAAUGGGUUGGAAGUUCUUCAAAUAACAGCUACUGAUGAAGAUGAGGUAAAAAGAUGAUGGUUUUGUGGCUGCUACAAGUACUGCACUUCUGAAAUAUAAUGUAAAAUGCAUUUGUGUUA